rnacentral:rRNA from 1 species
AUUGAACGCUGGCGGCAUGCUUUACACAUGCAAGUCGAACGGCAGCGCGGGCUUCGGCCUGGCGGCGAGUGGCGAACGGGUGAGUAAUACAUCGGAACGUGCCCAGUAGUGGGGGAUAGCUCGGCGAAAGCCGGAUUAAUACCGCAUACGACCUGAGGGUGAAAGCGGGGGAUCUUCGGACCUCGCGCUAUUGGAGCGGCCGAUGGCAGAGUAGCUAGUUGGUGGGGUAAAGGCCUACCAAGGCGACGAUCUGUAGCUGGUCUGAGAGGACGACCAGCCACACUGGGACUGAGACACGGCCCAGACUCCUACGGGAGGCAGCAGUGGGGAAUUUUGGGCAAUGGGCGAAAGCCUGAUCCAGCAAUGCCGCGUGUGUGAUGAAGGCCUUCGGGUUGUAAAGCACUUUUGGCGGGAACGAAAAGGACUGUGCCAAUACCACGGUUCGAUGACGGUACCCGCAGAAUAAGCACCGGCUAACUACGUG